UACAAAUGUGAUUCAGUAUGGUUGCUAUUAAAGGGAAGCUGAAACACUUUUCGAAAAAAAUGAGUUCUCUGCGGCAUUCUACAGUAUUGAGUCCAUUGAACACGAAUAUCUAGUUUAAAAAGGGUGGAAACAAACGCAAGCGGCUGUUUUUUGCAAGAAAACGCGCACCAGCGCCUCAGGGCAUCGCGCGAACGCCGCUGUUGCCCGCGAUUGGUCGGGACCGCUGUGACGUCAUUCACGGGGAUCAGCGGUCGGCGCGGCCGUUUCAGAGCGUAGCAUGCUGUUCUGGUCUGACUUCACAGAUGAGUUGUAAGCAUUAUGAACGCUCUCGCUGUCUCGGACAGCUUGUAUUUUCACCUUACAUGUUCGAACCGACAGUCGAUACAGAAAACGAUGGCGGCAACGACGAUGUUGAGUGUGCCAACAGCGAAAACGAUGUGUGUACCUUCUCGCGCAUUGGAAAUAUUAGCUGGUAAACAGUGCUCACCAACCUUCGAUCUGCUGGGACUUCUGAUACCAUCCCAAGCGCCUUCGAGAGAGAACUAUUAAAAAUGUUCCAGAUAUAUGUGCACAACUUUCAGGAGCUGUCCAUCAGACAGUAAACCUCUGUUAACCUCUGGCUGA